rnacentral:rRNA from 1 species
UCCUACGGGACGCAGCAGUAGGGAAUCUUCCACAAUGGACGAAAGUCUGAUGGAGCAACGCCGCGUGAGUGAAGAAGGGUUUCUGCUCGUAAGGCUCUGUUGGUAGUGAAGAAAGAUAGAGGUAGUAACUGGCCUUUAUUUGACGGUAAUUACUUAGAAAGUCACGGCUAACUACGUGCCAGCAGCCGCGGUAAUACGUAGGUGGCAAGCGUUGUCCGGAUUUAUUGGGCGUAAAGCGAGUGCAGGCGGGUCAAUAAGUCUGAUGGUGAAGCCUUCGGCUCAACCGGAGAAUUGGAUCAGAAACU